rnacentral:rRNA from 1 species
UACGUAGGUUGCAAGCGUUAAUCGGAAUUACUGGGCGUAAAGCGUGCGCAGGCGGCUUUGCAAGUCAGAUGUGAAAUCCCCGGGCUUAACCUGGGAACUGCAUUUGUGACUGCAUGGCUGGAGUGCGGCAGAGGGGGAUGGAAUUCCGCGUGUAGCAGUGAAAUGCGUAGAUAUGCGGAGGAACACCGAUGGCGAAGGCAAUCCCCUGGGCCUGCACUGACGCUCAUGCACGACAGCGUGGGGAGCAAACAGG